UGUGACUUUCAGUUAAAGCCAAUGCUCAUUGACUAUUCUGAAAAUCCCAGGGCCCUUAAGAUAUGCUGUAUAAACGCAACAACAAAGCCUGGAUGACGUUGGGUCUGUUUACAGCCUGGUCUACUGAGUAAGCCCACUGUUGAGACCUAGUGCUCAGAAAAAAUAGAUUUCUUUCAAAAUAUGGCUGGGUGCAGUGGCUCACACCGGUAAUCCCAGCACUUUGGGAGGCUGGGGCGGGUGGAUUGCUUGAUGCCAGGAGUUCAAGACCAGCCUGGGCAACAUGGUGAAACCCUGUCUCAAAAAACAAAUCCAAAAAACCAAAAUAUUGCUACUCAUUAACAAUGCACCUGGUUACCCAAGAGCUCUGAUGGAGAUGUACAAGGAGAUGAAUACUGUUUUCAUGCCUGCUAACACAGUAUCCAUUCUGCUGCUGAUAGAUCAAGAAGUACUUUUGACUUUCAAAACUUGUUAUUUAAGAAAUACAUUUUGUGGUUUCUCUGAUGGUUCUGGGCAGUCAGUUCAAAACCUUCUGGAAAGGAUUCACCAUUCUAGAUGCCAUCAAGAGCAUUCAAUUCACGGGAGGAGGUCAAAAUAUCAACAUUAAUUGGAAUUUGGAAGAAAUAGAUUCCAAUCCUCAUGGAGGACUUGGAGGGUUUCAAGACUUCAGAGGAGGAAGGAACUGUAGAUGGGCUGAAAAUAGCAAGAGAACUAGAAGUGGAGGGGCCUAGAGAUGUGACCGAAUUGCUGUAACCUCAGGAUCAAACUUGUAUGGAUGAGAAGUUCCUUCUCAUGGACGAGCAAAGAAGUGGUCUGGAACUGAAAGUGAUGCGUAUUUCUGAGUUAUGCCUGUAUUUAAGAAGCUGAGUGAAACCCAAAGAAGUCCAUGAUAGGACAGACUUCUGAAAACUAAAGACAGAAAAAAGCUUGAAAGCAUCAAGAAAGAAGUGAAAUCUUAGCUAGAGGGAAAAGUAACUCAGAUGACAGUGGAUUUCUCUCUGGAAACCAUGGAGGCCAGAAGGAAGUGAGACAAGUUCUUUUAGUGCCAGAAGAACUAUCAACUUGUGGCUGGGCACGGUGGCUCACACCUGUAAUCCCAGCACUUUGGGAGACCAAGGUGGGCAGAUCACUUGAAGUCAGGAGUUUGAGACCAGCCUGGCCAACAUGGCAAAACCCUGUCUCUACUAAAAAUACAAAAAUUAGCCAGGCAUGGUGGCACAUGCCUGUAAUCUCAGCUACUUGGGAGGCUGAGGCACGAGAAUUACUUGAACCCGGGAGGUGGAGGUUGCAGUGAGCCAAGAUCCUGCCACUGCACUCCAGCCUGGGCAACAGAGCAAGACUGCCUCAAAACAAAACUCUGUCAACUCCAAAUUCCUAUUUGGUGAAAUGAUCCUUCAGGAUUGAUGGGGUAAUAAAAACAUUCUCGGUUGAUAGAAAACUAAA
rnacentral:lncRNA from 10 species